GAUGAACGCUGGCGGCGUGCUUAACACAUGCAAGUCGAACGGGAAUUAUUUUAUUGAACCUUCGGUCGAUUUAAUUUAAUUCUAGUGGCGGACGGGUGAGUAACGCGUGGGUAACCUGCCUUAUACAAGGGGAUAACAGUCAGAAAUGGCUGCUAAUACCGCAUAAGCGCACAGAGCUGCAUGGCUCAGUGUGAAAAACUCCGGUGGUAUAAGAUGGACCCGCGUUGGAUUAGCUGGUUGGUGGGGUAACGGCCCACCAAGGCGACGAUCCAUAGCCGGCCUGAGAGGGUGAACGGCCACAUUGGGACUGAGACACGGCCCAGACUCCUACGGGAGGCAGCAGUGGGGAAUAUUGCACAAUGGGGGAAACCCUGAUGCAGCGACGCCGCGUGAAGGAAGAAGUAUCUCGGUAUGUAAACUUCUAUCAGCAGGGAAGAUAGUGACGGUACCUGACGAAGAAGCCCCGGCUAACUACGUG
rnacentral:rRNA from 1 species